AAAACGACUCUCGGCAACGGAUAUCUCGGCUCUCGCAUCGAUGAAGAACGUAGCGAAAUGCGAUACUUGGUGUGAAUUGCAGAAUCCCGUGAACCAUCGAGUCUUUGAACGCAAGUUGCGCCCAAAGCCUUCGGGCCGAGGGCACGUCUGCCUGGGUGUCACAC
rnacentral:rRNA from 1 species